rnacentral:snoRNA from 1 species
AUCUGGUGCUGAGGGCAACUGGCACAUAGUUUCUUAAAUCUCUCUCAGUAUUCAUAUAAGCUUUCUCCACUGAGUUGUCUAAUGCUUGAAAUAUCCUUUCUGAUGGU